CCUACGGGAGGCAGCAGUGGGGAAUUUUGGACAAUGGGCGCAAGCCUGAUCCAGCCAUGCCGCGUGCGGGAAGAAGGCCUUCGGGUUGUAAACCGCUUUUGUCAGGGAAGAAAUCCUUUGAGCUAACACCUCGGGGGGAUGACGGUACCUGAAGAAUAAGCACCGGCUAACUACGUGCCAGCAGCCGCGGUAAUACGUAGGGUGCGAGCGUUAAUCGGAAUUACUGGGCGUAAAGCGUGCGCAGGCGGUCUUGCAAGACAGGUGUGAAAUCCCCGGGCUUAACCUGGGAACUGCACUUGUGACUGCAAGGCUGGUGUACGGCAGAGGGGGGAUGGAAUUCCGCGUGUAGCAGUGAAAUGCGUAGAUAUGCGGAGGAACACCGAUGGCGAAGGCAAUCCCCUGGGCCUGUACUGACGCUCAUGCACGAAAGCGUGGGGAGCAAACAGGAUUAGAUACCCUGGUAGUCCACGCCCUAAACGAUGUCAACUGGUUGUUGGACGGCUUGCUGUUCNGUAACGAAGCUAACGCGUGAAGUUGACCGCCUGGGGAGUACGGCCGCAAGGUUGAAACUCAAAGGAUUGACGG
rnacentral:rRNA from 1 species